AUCGGGCCUCCCGCAGCCGGGUUCCCCGUGCCCCCUCCUGGCUGGCAGGGCCGCGGGCAGGCCUGGCGCGGGCGACGUGGUGAUGCGGGGACCCCGGUGGGAGGUCGGCCCGGGGAACCCCCACGGGUGGAGUGGAGUGGCCUACUGUGUAUGACUGCAGCCUGGGCCGGGAUCUCAGAGGGAAGGACCCCCCUGCUGGGGGCUGUAAAAAUGGAAAUCGCCACCCCUCCAACAUCAAAGUGUAUUAUCUACUGGAAAAGAAAAGUCAAGUCUGAAUAUAUGCGUCUUCGGCAGCUCAAGAGAUUUCAGGCAAACAUGGGAGCAAAGGCUCUGUUUGUGGCCAACUUUGCAAAGGUUCAUGAAAAGACUCGAAUUCUUAAUGAAGACUGGAAGAAGCUUCGAGUUCAACCAGUGCAGCUGAUGAAGCCAGUCAGCGGGCACCCCUUCCUAAAACAGUGUACAGUUGAGAGCAUUUUUCCAGGAUUUCCAAGCCAGACGCUGUACAUGAGGACACUGAACACGGUGGCACUGGUGCCUAUCAUGUACUCCUGGUCCCCCCUUCAGCAGAACUUCAUGGUGGAGGAUGAAACUGUUCUGUGCAACAUCCCUUACAUGGGAGAUGAGGUGAAGGAAGAGGAUGAAACCUUCAUUGAAGAGCUUAUUAAUAACUAUGAUGGGAAAGUUCAUGGAGAGGAAGAAAUGAUUUCAGGUUCAGUCCUCAUCAGUGAUGCUGUCUUCCUGGAGCUAGUGAAUGCCCUGAAUCAGUACUCAGAUGAGGAAGAGGAAGGACACAAUGAUUCUGAAGCCAAACAGGAGGAUGGGAAAGAGGAACUGCCAGUCACAAGAAAAAGAAAACGAAUUGCAGUGGAAGGUAACAAGAAGUGUUCCAAGAAACGGUUUCCGAAUGACAUGAUAUUCACUGCCAUUUCUUCUAUGUUUCCUGAAUAUGGCUUCCCAGAUGACAUGAAAGAGAGGUACCGAGAGCUCACUGAGGUGUCGGAUCCCAAUGUGCUGCCCCCGCAGUGCACUCCCAACAUCGACGGGCCAUGCGCAAAGUCUGUGCAGCGGGAGCAGUCCCUGCACUCCUUCCACACGCUCUUCUGCCGGCGCUGCUUCAAAUACGACUGUUUUCUGCAUCCUUUUCAUGCUACUCCUAAUGUGUACAAACGAAAGAACAGAGAGACCAAGAUUGAGCCAGAUCCUUGCGGAGCAGACUGUUUCCUCUGGCUGGAAGGAGCCAAGGAGUUUGCUGCACUUCACAAUCCCAGGUCCAAGUGCUCAGGCAGGCGCCGCCGGAGGCACCAUGUGGUCAGUGCUUCCUGCUCAAAUGCCCCAGCUUCUGCGGUUGCUGAGACAAGGGAGGGAGACAGCGACAGAGACACGGGCAAUGAGUGGGCUUCUAGUUCCUCGGAGGCAAACUCCCGCUGUCAGACCCCUACUAAGCAGAAGCUGAGCCCGACCUCAUCCCAGCUGUUUGCAGUGGAGGCACAGCAGGAGCCAGUCGAGUGGACAGGAGCUGAGGAGUCCCUCUUCCGUGUCUUCCAUGGGACCUACUUCAACAACUUCUGCUCCAUUGCCAGACUGCUGGGAACAAAGACAUGCAAGCAGGUCUUUCAGUUUGCAGUGAAAGAGUCACUUAUAACAAAACUGCCAACAAAUGAAUUGAUGAAUCCAUCCCAGAAGAAGAAAAGGAAGCACAGGCUGUGGGCUGCCCAUUGCAGGAAGAUUCAGCUGAAGAAAGACAAUUCACCUACCCAGGUGUACAACUACCAGCCCUGUGACCAUCCUGAACAUCCCUGUGACAGCUCCUGCCCUUGCAUUAUGACCCAAAAUUUCUGUGAGAAGUUCUGCCAGUGCAACCCUGACUGUCAGAAUCGCUUCCCAGGCUGCCGCUGUAAGACCCAGUGCAACACCAAGCAGUGCCCAUGCUACUUGGCCGUGCGGGAGUGCGAUCCAGACCUCUGCCUGACCUGCGGGGCAUCAGAGCACUGGGACUGCAAGGUUGUCUCCUGCAAGAACUGCAGCAUCCAGCGCGGUCUCAAAAAGCAUUUGUUGCUGGCACCAUCAGAUGUUGCUGGCUGGGGGACUUUCAUCAAAGAAUCUGUGCAGAAGAAUGAAUUCAUCUCUGAAUACUGUGGUGAGCUUAUUUCACAGGAUGAGGCUGACCGGCGAGGAAAGGUCUAUGACAAGUACAUGUCAAGUUUCCUCUUCAACCUCAACAAUGAUUUUGUUGUUGAUGCCACUCGCAAAGGAAAUAAAAUCCGCUUUGCCAACCACUCCGUGAACCCCAAUUGCUAUGCCAAAGGUGAGCUAUCCUCACACAGGCCAUUCAAGGUGGAGGAAGAAUCUCUGGUCCUACUCAGCUCUGAGAACACAGGACGUUCACUGGGGUUCCAAGUCACACUGAGUCCAUCGGAGCUGAAGAACAUCAGAGACAUAGGCAAACUCUCCUCGUGGCUGCAAAUCACAUUCCUACUGUUGGGGGCUCUGCUCAGCUCUGCUGUGGCUCUGACCUUGCAGGGAGAUCGCUGCUAGAGAGCAGGCUAGGAUGUUACUCAUCCUGCUGAGCAGCAGUUCUGGAGCCUUUGCUUUGCAACUGGCAACGGUCAGGCUGGGCUGAUGGUGCUCCAUGACCUUUGGACCUGGGCUACAGUUGCACAUCUCUGAUACUGUCUCUCUGGUUGCAGUUGUGAUGGUGAAUGGAGACCACCGGAUAGGAAUCUUUGCCAAGAGGGCCAUCCAGGCAGGAGAGGAGCUCUUCUUUGAUUACCGGUACAGCCAGGCAGAUGCCCUGAAGUAUGUUGGCAUAGAGAGGGAGACCGAUAUCAUCUAAGCUGUGUGCCAGGCGGUCCCCACACAUUUUGCUGCUGCACCUUGUAAGCAAUGCCAUGUUUGCUUCACGCUGACAUGACUGCUGUCCAUGUUCCCCUUGUUGUGUGUGUCACAAGUGCUACUUUCCACCCAGACACCUGGAGAGAGACUCAGGGCAGGAGCGUGAAUGGCUGCCACCAGGACAGCAGCUCUGCCCAGCCCCAGGAUGGGGCAGGUUCCAGCACCUUGCACUGCUGGUAAUCUCCUGGGCUGGAGGGACCAAGCAGCUGGGGCUUGAAGAAGAGCUGUGUUGCAGGAGGAGGGACAGUCACCAGUCCUCAGUCUCUUUCUAUUUUCUGUGAACUGCUAGAAGAACAAGAGUGAGUGAAGUACACUGAGACCUGGAGGGCAUGGCUGAAGGGUGACAGGGCUGGCAUUCUCCUCCAGCCUCUGUCUGGGACAAGCUCUGGUCUCUGGUGCUACCUUUUGCUGCCUGUUUUGUUGCAUUGGCUAGGACAGUGACAGCAUUGGAAGCUGUAGAGGUGUGGCCACAUUCCUGCACGUCCCUAGGUUCCACAGCUACUAUCGCUAGGGCUCUGUUUCCCCUCUGCCUCAGCUAGCUGGAGGACGGAGACCACCAGCAUGUGGCUCAUGUGGCUCCUUGGGACAGGAAAAGCAGCACUAUGCAAAAGUCUCUUUGGGCAGGGAAGCCACUGAGCUGGUUAGAGAUGAUGUUACGGGAGUGCUGCUGCAAGCACAAGAGGAACCCACAGGAAGCAUGCACGCAGGAGCAUGAGGAAGCCCUUGCAGCCUGCAGCAUGCUCUCAUGGCAGGCUGUGGAUUGGCUGUCUGGUUCUUGCCUAUCUGCAGCUGCUCUGCUGCCUGGGUCUUCUGGGGUUGGGGCAGCUCUGAGGCUGCGUGGUGAACCCCCUCUUGCUUGGCUGUGGCUGCAUCCAGCCAAGCUUUUGCCACCAGGAAGUCAGUGCUCCAGGCAGGUGCUUCCUGGCCACACAGUACCAGAGCUGGUUUCUCCAGCCUCUGUAGGGAUGGUCCCUAUCAGAGAGAAGUGGGCUCUUUGAGACAUUGCAGGCCCUUCAGGAGCCAGCAGAGCAGGUCCUCUCAGGUUGAGAACCUUUCUCAUUGCACAGAAUUGCUUGAAUGUUGCAGUGGUGAGGUUUGAGCAGAGUGCAGCACUCACACCUGCUGUGUGUGUUGACAAAGGGGAAGCUCUGUGGAUGUUUCUGGCAUUCUGGUGCUGGCCUUGGCUUUUGGGAUAAAGGGGGAAAUGUUCUUUGGCAAAGUGAGGUUUGGCAUUAGCACCCCAUGCAAAAAGGAGAGAGAAAAAAGCACUUUAAAUUAAGCCUUCUCAGCCAGGCAGCUGGGCCCCAUGGGCUGCCCAGGGCGCUCUCAGGUUGAGGGACCACAGACCUCCCACACCACUGCUGUCCUUCAGCAGCGCCUUUGCAGGGACAUUUCUUCAGGCCUGGGACUGGGCAGCUUGGAAGAAUGGAUGGCUGCCUGGCUGGUGGGAUGGCUGGAGGGAUGGCUGGCUGGCUUUUCCCUGAGCAGGAGGCUGGGCCUGAAGGAUGGGGCUGUCCUGUAGGAGCCACAUAUGUCACCAGCUGGCCUGGUGCCAGGUGCUGGACACUGCUGGACUCCUGUGCCAGCCUGGAGCAGUGCUGCGGGACGGUGUUUGCCCACGACUGGGCCCACUGCCCUGCUGCUCUGGGAAGUGCAAGGCUCCCACACAGGGCAUGGCCCCAUCCCAGCAGCGCAUCUCCCAGUGCAGAGAGCGCCCUGGGUCUGCACCAGGAGCUGAGCCCUCCCCAGCACAGGUGUGGUCCUGCCCUGCCUGCUCUCCGUCCUGUCUUGGGGGUUUGGGUCUGUGUGGAGCAGCACUUGUACCCCAGUCCCACUCCUUCGUCCCCUGCCCCUCUCCUGCCUCCGUCCCACAGCUCAUCCCAGCCCCACUGUCCGCUCAGUGUCCUCUGCCACCUUGGCCGUAUCUGCACUAUGCCAGGCUUGUGUCUGUGGUUUGUUGACGGUGAAUUAUAAUGCACUUUAAAACUUAUGUGGCUUCUAGCCUUUGUCAUAAUAAAGCGAUAACGAACAUCC